rnacentral:rRNA from 1 species
AGCGUACACGGUGGAUGCCCUGGCAGUCAGAGGCGAUGAAGGACGUGCUAAUCUGCGAUAAGCGUCGGUGAGGUGAUAUGAACCGUUAUAACCGGCGAUUUCCGAAUGGGGAAACCCAGUGUGUUUCGACACACUAUCAUUAACUGAAUCCAUAGGUUAAUGAGGCGAACCGGGGGAACUGAAACAUCUAAGUACCCCGAGGAAAAGAAAUCAACCGAGAUUCCCCCAGUAGCGGCGAGCGAACGGGGAGGAGCCCAGAGCCUGAAUCAGUGUGUGUGUUAGUGGAAGCGUCUGGAAAGGCGCGCGAUACAGGGUGACAGCCCCGUACACAAAAAUGCACAUAUUGUGAGCUCGAUGAGUAGGGCGGGACACGUGGUAUCCUGUCUGAAUAUGGGGGGACCAUCCUCCAAGGCUAAAUACUCCUGACUGACCGAUAGUGAACCAGUACCGUGAGGGAAAGGCGAAAAGAACCCCGGCGAGGGGAGUGAAAAAGAACCUGAAACCGUGUACGUACAAGCAGUGGGAGCCUCUUAAUGGGGUGACUGCGUACCUUUUGUAUAAUGGGUCAGCGACUUAUAUUCUGUAGCAAGGUUAACCGAAUAGGGGAGCCGAAGGGAAACCGAGUCUUAACUGGGCGUUAAGUUGCAGGGUAUAGACCCGAAACCCGGUGAUCUAGCCAUGGGCAGGUUGAAGGUUGGGUAACACUAACUGGAGGACCGAACCGACUAAUGUUGAAAAAUUAGCGGAUGACUUGUGGCUGGGGGUGAAAGGCCAAUCAAACCGGGAGAUAGCUGGUUCUCCCCGAAAGCUAUUUAGGUAGCGCCUCGUGAAUUCAUCUCCGGGGGUAGAGCACUGUUUCGGCAAGGGGGUCAUCCCGACUUACCAACCCGAUGCAAACUGCGAAUACCGGAGAAUGUUAUCACGGGAGACACACGGCGGGUGCUAACGUCCGUCGUGAAGAGGGAAACAACCCAGACCGCCAGCUAAGGUCCCAAAGUCAUGGUUAAGUGGGAAACGAUGUGGGAAGGCCCAGACAGCCAGGAUGUUGGCUUAGAAGCAGCCAUCAUUUAAAGAAAGCGUAAUAGCUCACUGGUCGAGUCGGCCUGCGCGGAAGAUGUAACGGGGCUAAACCAUGCACCGAAGCUGCGGCAGCGACACUAUGUGUUGUUGGGUAGGGGAGCGUUCUGUAAGCCUGUGAAGGUGUGCUGUGAGGCAUGCUGGAGGUAUCAGAAGUGCGAAUGCUGACAUAAGUAACGAUAAAGCGGGUGAAAAGCCCGCUCGCCGGAAGACCAAGGGUUCCUGUCCAACGUUAAUCGGGGCAGGGUGAGUCGACCCCUAAGGCGAGGCCGAAAGGCGUAGUCGAUGGGAAACAGGUUAAUAUUCCUGUACUUGGUGUUACUGCGAAGGGGGGACGGAGAAGGCUAUGUUGGCCGGGCGACGGUUGUCCCGGUUUAAGCGUGUAGGCUGGUUUUCCAGGCAAAUCCGGAAAACCAAGGCUGAGGCGUGAUGACGAGGCACUACGGUGCUGAAGUGACAAAUGCCCUGCUUCCAGGAAAAGCCUCUAAGCAUCAGGUAACAUCAAAUCGUACCCCAAACCGACACAGGUGGUCAGGUAGAGAAUACCAAGGCGCUUGAGAGAACUCGGGUGAAGGAACUAGGCAAAAUGGUGCCGUAACUUCGGGAGAAGGCACGCUGAUAUGUAGGUGAAGCGACUUGCUCGUGGAGCUGAAAUCAGUCGAAGAUACCAGCUGGCUGCAACUGUUUAUUAAAAACACAGCACUGUGCAAACACGAAAGUGGACGUAUACGGUGUGACGCCUGCCCGGUGCCGGAAGGUUAAUUGAUGGGGUUAGCGGCAACGCGAAGCUCUUGAUCGAAGCCCCGGUAAACGGCGGCCGUAACUAUAACGGUCCUAAGGUAGCGAAAUUCCUUGUCGGGUAAGUUCCGACCUGCACGAAUGGCGUAAUGAUGGCCAGGCUGUCUCCACCCGAGACUCAGUGAAAUUGAACUCGCUGUGAAGAUGCAGUGUACCCGCGGCAAGACGGAAAGACCCCGUGAACCUUUACUAUAGCUUGACACUGAACAUUGAGCCUUGAUGUGUAGGAUAGGUGGGAGGCUUUGAAGUGUGGACGCCAGUCUGCAUGGAGCCGACCUUGAAAUACCACCCUUUAAUGUUUGAUGUUCUAACGUUGGCCCCUGAUCGGGGUUGCGGACAGUGUCUGGUGGGUAGUUUGACUGGGGCGGUCUCCUCCUAAAGAGUAACGGAGGAGCACGAAGGUUGGCUAAUCCUGGUCGGACAUCAGGAGGUUAGUGCAAUGGCAUAAGCCAGCUUGACUGCGAGCGUGACGGCGCGAGCAGGUGCGAAAGCAGGUCAUAGUGAUCCGGUGGUUCUGAAUGGAAGGGCCAUCGCUCAACGGAUAAAAGGUACUCCGGGGAUAACAGGCUGAUACCGCCCAAGAGUUCAUAUCGACGGCGGUGUUUGGCACCUCGAUGUCGGCUCAUCACAUCCUGGGGCUGAAGUAGGUCCCAAGGGUAUGGCUGUUCGCCAUUUAAAGUGGUACGCGAGCUGGGUUUAGAACGUCGUGAGACAGUUCGGUCCCUAUCUGCCGUGGGCGCUGGAGAACUGAGGGGGGCUGCUCCUAGUACGAGAGGACCGGAGUGGACGCAUCACUGGUGUUCGGGUUGUCAUGCCAAUGGCACUGCCCGGUAGCUAAAUGCGGAAGAGAUAAGUGCUGAAAGCAUCUAAGCACGAAACUUGCCCCGAGAUGAGUUCUCCCUGACUCCUUGA